AUACGGAGGACGCGAGAGUUAUCCGGAUUCAUUGGGUUUAAAGGGUGCGCAGGCGGCCGUGCAAGUCAGCGGUGAAAGCCCGGGGCUCAACCCCGGAAGUGCCGUUGAUACUGCAUGGCUGGAAUGCGGUCGAGGCGGGGGGCGCGGGGCGUGUGGCGGGGCAAUGCGUAGAUAUGCCACAGAACGCCGAUAGCGGAGGCAGCUCGCCAGGCCUGCAUUGACGCUCGGGCACGAAAGCGUGGGGAUCGAACAGGAUUAGAUACCCUGGUAGUCCACGCCGUAAACGAUGGGCGCUCGUCGUCGGCGGCAGACAGUCGGCGGCCAAGCGAAAGCGAUAAGCGCCCCACCUGGGGAGUACGGUCGCAAGGCUGAAACUCAAAUGAAUUGACGGGG
rnacentral:rRNA from 1 species